rnacentral:rRNA from 1 species
UACAGAGGUCUCAAGCGUUGUUCGGAUUCAUUGGGCGUAAAGGGUGCGUAGGUGGCGCCGUAAGUCAGGUGUGAAAUUUCGGAGCUUAACUCCGAAACUGCAUUUGAUACUGCGGUGCUUGAGGACUGGAGAGGAGACUGGAAUUUACGGUGUAGCAGUGAAAUGCGUAGAGAUCGUAAGGAACACCAGUGGCGAAGGCGGCUCUCUGGUCGGCCACUGACGCUGAGGUGCGAAGCGUGGGGAGCGAACGGG